rnacentral:sRNA from 1 species
GCUGUGGGUUCAGUGGUGUGCACCUGUAAUCCCAGCUACUAGGAGGCUGAGGCGGGGGGUUGAGUUAGAGUCCAGCCUGGGUAACACAGUGAGACCCCACCUCAA